rnacentral:rRNA from 1 species
GGCUUAACACAUGCAAGUCGAGGGGUAACAGGGAUUGCUUGCAAUUCGCUGACGACCGGCGCACGGGUGCGUAACGCGUAUGCAACUUACCUUUUACUGGGGCAUAGUCAAGAGAAAUUUUGAAUAAUACCCCAUACGAUCUGACUCACUCCUGUGAGAUAGAAGAAAAUUACGAUGGUAAAAGAUAGGCAUGCGUCCUAUUAGUUUGUUGGUGAGGUAACGGCUCACCAAGACUACGAUAGGUAGGGGUCCUGAGAGGGAGAUCCCCCACACUGGUACUGAGACACGGACCAGACUCCUACGGGAGGCAGCAGUGAGGAAUAUUGGACAAUGGAGGCAACUCUGAUCCAGCCAUGCCGCGUGCAGGAAGACGGCCCUAUGGGUUGUAAACUGCUUUUAUACAGGAAGAAACGUUAGUACGUGUACUAGCCUGACGGUACUGUAAGAAUAAGGAUCGGCUAACUCCGUGCCAGCAGCCGCGGUAAUACGGAGGAUCCAAGCGUUAUCCGGAAUCAUUGGGUUUAAAGGGUCCGUAGGCGGUCUAUUAAGUCAGAGGUGAAAUCCUAUCGCUCAACGAUAGAACUGCCUUUGAUACUGGUAGACUUGAGUUAUUGUGAAGUAGUUAGAAUGUGUAGUGUAGCGGUGAAAUGCAUAGAUAUUACACAGAAUACCGAUUGCGAAGGCAGAUUACUAACAAUAUACUGACGCUCAGGGACGAAAGCGUGGGUAGCGAACAGGAUUAGAUACCCUGGUAGUCCACGCCGUAAACGAUGGUCACUAGCUGUUUGACUAACAUUGGUUAGUUGAGUGGCUAAGCGAAAGUGAUAAGUGACCCACCUGGGGAGUACGCU